rnacentral:tRNA from 1 species
GGAGGGGUCGCACAGUAUGGUGAGUGCACUGGUCUUGAAAACCAGGGUCCUUCGGGAUAUGCAGGUUCGAUUCCUGUCCCCUCCGCCA